UGGGGGAUAUUGCACAAUGGGCGAAAGCCUGAUGCAGCGACGCCGCGUGGGGGAUGAAGGCCUUCGGGUUGUAAACUUCUUUUGCUCUGAACAAGGCAUGCUAAUGGGUGUGUUGAGUGUAGGGGUUGAUUAGCGCCGGCUAACUACGUGCCAGCAGCCGCGGUAAUACGUAGGGCGCGAGCGUUGUCCGGAAUUAUUGGGCGUAAAGGGCUUGUAGGUGGCUGGUUGCGUCUGUCGUGAAAGCUCAUGGCUUAACUGUGGGUUUGCGGUGGGUACGGGCUGGCUUGAGUGCAGUAGGGGAGGCUGGAAUUCCUGGUGUAGCGGUGGAAUGUGCAGAUAUCAGGAGGAAUACCGGUGGCGAAGGCGGGGCUCUGGGCUGUUACUGACACUGAGGAGCGAAAGCAUGGGGAGCGAACAGG
rnacentral:rRNA from 1 species